rnacentral:rRNA from 1 species
AGAGUUUGAUCCUGGCUCAGGACGAACGCUGGCGGCGUGCUUAACACAUGCAAGUCGAACGAAGAGCGAUGGAAGCUUGCUUCUAUCAAUCUUAGUGGCGAACGGGUGAGUAACGCGUAAUCAACCUGCCCUUCAGAGGGGGACAACAGUUGGAAACGACUGCUAAUACCGCAUACGAUCUAAUCUCGGCAUCGAGGAUAGAUGAAAGGUGGCCUCUACAUGUAAGCUAUCACUGAAGGAGGGGAUUGCGUCUGAUUAGCUAGUUGGAGGGGUAACGGCCCACCAAGGCGAUGAUCAGUAGCCGGUCUGAGAGGAUGAACGGCCACAUUGGGACUGAGACACGGCCCAGACUCCUACGGGAGGCAGCAGUGGGGAAUCUUCCGCAAUGGACGAAAGUCUGACGGAGCAACGCCGCGUGAGUGAUGACGGCCUUCGGGUUGUAAAGCUCUGUUAAUCGGGACGAAAGGCCUUCUUGCGAAUAGUGAGAAGGAUUGACGGUACCGGAAUAGAAAGCCACGGCUAA